CCUUUUUGUUGUCCAGUCUUGACUGCUGCUGAAAGGUGACACACUUGGCUGGAAACAUACUGAGACACACAGCUGGACAACGGACAGAGAGUGAGAGAUCUUGGAGCACUCAGUCCUAAAUGGGAUGCCUGCAUGAAUUCCUUUCCCUCGGGACUCAAGAGAAUCCUUUGAAAGAGGAGGCAGAAAAAUUGUAAGAUACAGACUGGGUGGCAGACACUAAGGAAACAAGGCUUAACAGCAGGGCCGAUACACACAAGAGCUCACAGAGACUGUGGCAGCAUGCACAGGGCCUCUGUGGGUCUGCACCAGAUAUGAUCCCAGUGCUGAAAGAAGUGGACACGAGCCCUCAUCUCUAAUUCAGAAGCCAUAUCUAAUUGAUAACUGCUUGCAAAUG
ensembl:lincRNA Gm45050 predicted gene 45050